rnacentral:rRNA from 1 species
UGGCGAACGGGUGAGUAACACGUGGGUAACCUGCCCAUCAGAAGGGGAUAACACUUGGAAACAGGUGCUAAUACCGUAUAACACUAUUUUCCGCAUGGAAGAAAGUUGAAAGGCGCUUUUGCGUCACUGAUGGAUGGACCCGCGGUGCAUUAGCUAGUUGGUGAGGUAACGGCUCACCAAGGCAACGAUGCAUAGCCGACCUGAGAGGGUGAUCGGCCACACUGGGACUGAGACACGGCCCAGACUCCUACGGGAGGCAGCAGUAGGGAAUCUUCGGCAAUGGACGAAAGUCUGACCGAGCAACGCCGCGUGAGUGAAGAAGGUUUUUCGGAUCGUAAAAACUCUGUU